GCUCAGGUGGCUCAAUGGUAAAGAAUCUGCCUGCCAAGCAGGAGACAUGGGUUCGAUCCCUGAGUU
rnacentral:tRNA from 1 species